CUCAAUGGCGGCUGUGCGCGGGAGACCUUCGGGUCUGCCGGGUUUCCGAUACCGGUUCGCCAACCUGCGUACAGCUGUCACCCUA
rnacentral:antisense_RNA from 1 species